ACGCUCGACACCUACGGGGGCAGCAGUAGGGAAUCUUCCACAAUGGGCGCAAGCCUGAUGGAGCAACACCGCGUGAGUGAAGAAGGGUUUCGGCUCGUAAAGCUCUGUUGUUGGAGAAGAACGUGCGUGAGAGUAACUGUUCACGCAGUGACGGUAUCCAACCAGAAAGUCACGGCUAACUACGUGCCCGCAGCCGCGGUAAUCUGAGCGGGCUGGCAAGGC
rnacentral:rRNA from 1 species